rnacentral:tRNA from 1 species
GCCCCCGUAGCUCAGCGGAUAGAGCAAGUGCCUUCUAAGCGCUUGGCCGCAGGUUCGAGUCCUGCCGGGGGCGCCA